CCUACGGGUGGCUGCAGUGGGGAAUAUUGGACAAUGGGGGGAACCCUGAUCCAGCCAUGCCGCGUGUGUGAAGAAGGCCCUCGGGUUGUAAAGCACUUUCAGUGAGGAAGAACGCCUGGUGGUUAAUACCCAUCAGGAAAGACAUCACUCACAGAAGAAGCACCGGCUAACUCCGUGCCAGCAGCCGCGGUAAUACGGAGGGUGCGAGCGUUAAUCGGAAUUACUGGGCGUAAAGCGCGCGUAGGUGGCUUGAUAAGCCGGUUGUGAAAGCCCCGGGCUCAACCUGGGAACGGCAUCCGGAACUGUCAAGCUAGAGUGCAGGAGAGGAAGGUAGAAUUCCCGGUGUAGUGGUGAAAUGCGUAGAGAUCGGGAGGAAUACCAGUGGCGAAGGCGGCCUUCUGGACUGACACUGACACUGAGGUGCGAAAGCGUGGGUAGCAAACAGGAUUAGAUACCCUAGUAGUC
rnacentral:rRNA from 1 species